rnacentral:rRNA from 1 species
UACGUAGGGUGCAAGCGUUGUCCGGAAUUAUUGGGCGUAAAGGGCUCGUAGGCGGUCCAUCGCGUCGGGAGUGAAAAGCUGGGGCUUAACCCCAGUCCUGCUUCCGAUACGGGUGGACUAGAGGUAGGUAGGGGAGAACGGAAUUCCUGGUGUAGCGGUGAAAUGCGCAGAUAUCAGGAGGAACACCGGUGGCGAAGGCGGUUCUCUGGGCCUUACCUGACGCUGAGGAGCGAAAGCCAGGGGAGCAAACGGG